GAUGAACGCUGACAGAAUGCUUAACACAUGCAAGUCGAUUCGAUUUACCUUCGGGUAUUGAGGAUGGCGGACGGGUGAGUAACGCGUAAGGAACUUGCCUCUUGGACUGGGACAACUGUUGGAAACGACAGCUAAUACCGGAUAUUAUGAGAUUCUCGCAUGGGAAACUUAUGAAAGCUAUAUGCGCCAAGAGAGAGCCUUGCGUUCCAUUAGCUAGUUGGUGGGGUAAUGGCCCACCAAGGCGACGAUGGAUAGCCGGCCUGAGAGGGUGAACGGCCACAAGGGGACUGAGACACGGCCCUUACUCCUACGGGAGGCAGCAGUGGGGAAUAUUGGACAAUGGGCCACAAGCCUGAUCCAGCAAUUCUGUGUGCACGAUGAAGGUCUUCGGAUCGUAAAGUGCUUUCAGUUGGGAAGAAGAAAGUGACGGUACCAACAGAAGAAGCGACGGCUAAAUACGUGCCAGCAGCCGCGGUAAUAC
rnacentral:rRNA from 1 species